GUUUUCUUUGCACCUUUUCCUUUUUGUUUCUCCCCUCUGGCUAUCAAUCGAUGUGGGCGAUCAUACCGCUUUUCGUUCUCUUGUUCAUACGGCGUCAGGCGCCAGGGUGCAGGACGGGAAAUGAGAUGAGGGCAGGAGGAGGAGGAUGCUUGCACGCAACAGCGCGCAAGAUUACGUUUGGAUCCUGGCGCCGCGAUUGGAGCCCCCACCACUAAUCAAAGGUAGCUAGGCAGGCCGAAGCCGUAAUGACGCGACCCACAGAAUAGGCAUAGGCAUCGUGCUAAUCGCCAUCAUGUCUGGUGAUUAGCAGUGGCUGGAGAAUAAUCUCCAUGAUUAUUCUCUCGUACAUCCUUGGGCAGGAAAAGGUAAUAGAUGUAAUGUAGUGGCCGAUGGCAGGAUGACCGAGGCCAAACGGGAUGGUUGGUGCCGCACGAUCGAGGAGACUGGACAGUGUCAAAGGUAAUCCUAGUUGUACAUGUGGAGGUCAAGCAAAACAUGAAAGAUGGAUGAAGAUGGCGUGUUGAUAAAGUCAAGCAAAAUGAAUACCAGUGUAAGUGACAAGGUAGCCCGAGGGAUUGGGAGCGGGAGAGAUUUGCCAACGGUCAAGAUCGUAAGAUAGAGUACACGUACCGACAUCGGGAUGCUUGCUUGAGGUCAAGUAAGUGGCAAUAAGUCAUGCUUUGAGAAGUAUGCAAGGGGUUUUGCGGUUUGGCCUCAAAAUCAUAGGAAGAAUGGAGGUGCACGCGACAUAAUACCCUUGAUGGUAGAUAGAAAUGUACUACAAGAAAUGAGUAUUUUAGGAACAAGCUAGAAAAUUUAGGGUCAAGUAAUCUAAGUUAUAAAUAGAGAGGUAGUACUAUGUGGGAGAUGUGAACUAAUCACUCGAGCCUCUUAAAUUAUUCAUAUGAGAGUUUUGUGCUAUGGUUUUAAAUGAGAGGAAUAUGAGUGCUUAGCCUAUAUAUCAUGUUAGAGUUUUGUAAGAGAAAAUCUUUAUAAUCCGCUUAAAAUAGAGCUUAUCUCUGCAAGCAAUAAAA